AGUCGAAACCCUUAUUUUUUCUAAUUCUCUUUUCCUUUCCCACAUUCUCUCCUCUCUCACGCUCCUAUUGUCGCUCCUCUCUUCAACCGGUGGCUUCAGCGGUUGUGACCAACGCUGGGGACGACUACUGAGGUGCCAGAUCUUUCUCCAAGACUGAAAGAGUACAAAGGUUGAUAAUUAAAGAAAGGCUAUACUACUGGUUUAUCCUCUCAUUUCGACUUUUGUUUCUUGGUUUCGUCCUUGCUGCGACAGGAUGGAAUUUGAACAUCGUAGAUGGAUGUAUAAUAGGACUCAUCCUAAUCGUGCGGGGUUGAGGAAGGAAUUUAUAGAAGGAGUUGCGAGGUUUAUUGCUAAGGAAAAAUCGCAAAAUGAUUUUCGUCCAUAGUCAUUAUUUUCGGAUGCUCCUACUGCCAAAAUCAGGAAGAAAUGGAAGCAAUGCGAAAGCAAAUUAAGUUGUUGUCGAAACGGUGUGAAACAGCCGAAGCUCACAUUGCUAGAGUGGAUAAAUACAUGAAAAAGCACAUGCCUCACUCUUAUGAUGAUGAAGAGACUGAAUCUGAUGUGUAGUAGUGGUUUAUGGUUGAUUACUAUUCUUGGAUGUUCAGAUUUUAUAUUUAGACUUUAUGGUAGAUUUAGAUGAUUUGGCAUAUAUGUUUAGACUUUAUUAUAUUAGUGUCGAUGUGUAUUAGCUACUUAGACUUAAUAUUGAAUAUUUAGACUUUAAGUAAUGUUUUGGUAUGAUAUUAUGGGAUUUGAAUGUUUGUUUGUUGAAGUUGGAAUUGAUUGGUUUGAUUA